rnacentral:rRNA from 1 species
GAUGAACGCUGGCGGCGUGCCUAAUACAUGCAAGUCGAGCGAACGGAUGAGAAGCUUGCUUCUCUGAUGUUAGCGGCGGACGGGUGAGUAACACGUGGAUAACCUACCUAUAAGACUGGGAUAACUUCGGGAAACCGGAGCUAAUACCGGAUAAUAUUUUGAACCGCAUGGUUCAAAAGUGAAAGACGGUCUUGCUGUCACUUAUAGAUGGAUCCGCGCUGCAUUAGCUAGUUGGUAAGGUAACGGCUUACCAAGGCAACGAUGCAUAGCCGACCUGAGAGGGUGAUCGGCCACACUGGAACUGAGACACGGUCCAGAAUCCUACGGGAGGCAGCAGUAGGGAAUCUUCCGCAGUGGGCGAAAGCCUGACGGAGCAACGCCGCGUGAGUGAUGAAGGUCUUCGGAUCGUAAAACUCUGUUAUUAGGGAAGAACAUAUGUGUAAGUAACUGUGCACAUCUUGACGGUACCUAAUCAGAAAGCCACGGCUAACUACGU